UCAGCAGUGAUUGUGUGUAUCGUCGUUGUGCUUAAUCUAAAUGCACUCUGAUCGAAAGAUUUCCCUGCAAUAGAAAAUCGUUCAAUCGAUGGGGAAGAUGGGCAGUUGUUCUUCAUUGUCGGUUGAAUGAUCAACAAUCAUCUUCCCCACAAAU